rnacentral:rRNA from 1 species
AGUGAACGCUGGCGGUAGGCCUAACACAUGCAAGUCGAACGGCAGCACAGUAAGAGCUUGCUCUUACGGGUGGCGAGUGGCGGACGGGUGAGGAAUACAUCGGAAUCUACUUUUUCGUGGGGGAUAACGUAGGGAAACUUACGCUAAUACCGCAUACGACCUACGGGUGAAAGCAGGGGAUCUUCGGACCUUGCGCGAUUGAAUGAGCCGAUGUCGGAUUAGCUAGUUGGCGGGGUAAAGGCCCACCAAGGCGACGAUCCGUAGCUGGUCUGAGAGGAUGAUCAGCCACACUGGAACUGAGACACGGUCCAGACUCCUAAGGGAGGCGGCAGUGGGGAAUAUUGGACAAUGGGCGCAAGCCUGAUCCAGCCAUACCGCGUGGGUGAAGAAGGCCUUCGGGUUGUAAAGCCCUUUUGUUGGGAAAGAAAAGCAGCAGGUUAAUACCCCGCUGUUCUGACGGUACCCAAAGAAUAAGCACCGGCUAACUUCGUG